AGUAGUUAACUUUUGAUAAUAAUUAUAAGAAGAAAUAGUUUUUUUUUAACCGUUUAGGAUUUAGAUCAUCUUUUUUUAGAAACUCCUUGUUUUAUGGUAUUUUUGGGUAGUGAUAUCUAACUAUAAUCAUUGUGUUUGUGACUCUGAUUUUAAGAAAAGCAUAUCACAACCACAAGAUUUGUUUUGCUUGGUUGAGAUUUUCCUUCAAUAUUUAUUAUCCAUGUUUGGUUCAGAGUCUCUGGUGAUGUAGAAUAUGAAGGAGAACCUCUUAUUUAUCUAUGAUUCACGAGUUUUAGUUUCGUUGGUCUGAACUUACUAUGUUUGAUACUAAGAAAGCAAACUUGUUUGUCAUUAUGCAAUUUUUUGGAACUAAAAAUCAACAAUUGAUUUUAUUAUAAUUAUUAGUUUAAUAAAUUGGAUGUUUGUUUUACAUGUGAUAUAUCUUCAGGCGAUGUUCUUUACAUAAUUUGCAGGAGUUGCAUUCAAAUUAGGGAUGUAAACGGGGUAAGUCUGCGCGGGGCAGACUAGAUUCUUACCCUGCCCCUAAACUUAGGACUGGCCGACCGGGGCCGGUGUGGUACAGCCAUAUUUAAGGAGAGGACCCAGAGCCUAUCCCGGUUGAAUAUUCAAGUCUGGGUGGGUCUCGGGUCCAAAUGGGUCCUGGAAAAAAAAAUAGUAAAUUAAAUCAAUAAAAAAUAUCUAGAAUUUGGGUUACAAAAUAUAAAAAAGGAUUGACUUAUAAGCUUAGGGAUCAUGACACAUAAAUGAGUAAAUCUUUGUAUUUUAAAUUUUAACUGUUAAAAUACUUAUUGUUAAUUAAUAUUUAUAUUUAAUAUAACAAUAUUAUUAAUAUAUUAAUCUCCGGAUCCUGUCUAAAAGGGUCGGGUCUCACAAGAUCCAUUACCGGCCCCAUUAACGACCGGAUCUCACCGUCUCAGGUCCAGGGGCAAUUUUUUAAAUAGAUCUAAAUUUUAUACCCGGACCCAUUUACACUCAUGAUUCAAAUCAAGUUGGUGAGUCUGUUUUCUUGGCAGGACAUUGUCUAUGGGUGCCCCUAAGCAGAAAUGGACUGCAGAAGAAGAGUUGGCACUCAAAGCUGGAAUUGAAAAACAUGGGGCUGGAAAAUGGCGGACAAUAUUAAAGGAUCCUGAAUUCAGUCACAUCUUGUACCUGCGCUCCAAUGUAGAUCUCAAGGUAAGACAAACAUUCAAAAUAAAAUUAAAAUGGUUGGAUUAUUGUCAAAUAUUUUCUUCUACCAGGAAAUAAUAAGAUUGGAUAAUCGCUUCUUGGUAAUAUCGAUAAUUUUUUUUAUAGCUACUUAAUUCUUUUGGACCAGGACAAAUGGCGAAACAUGAGUGUGACAUCACAUGAUUGGGGAUCCCGGGAUAGACCUAGAAUAUCCUGGAAAAGGACCCAGCAAGUUCACAGACAUGAUAACUCAUUAGCCUUGAGCACAGUAGAUGAAGACAUCGACGAUGAGAUUGUUGAUGUGAAUCCUCUUGCAAUCUCUGAUGAAAUAUUGCAGAUACCCAAUACUAGCUCCAUUCCAAGGUUAUACCUUUGUUGAUCAUUUUUUUUAAUAUAUUUAUCUGUAUUAUCUUCCAUUAAAUUAUUUUAGUUAUUGAUUAAUAUUUCUUCUUCUUAUUCUUGAAGGUUAGAUGAUAUUGUAUUAGAAGCUAUAACAAAUUUGAAGGAUCCCACUGGUUCUAGCAUGACAGCUAUUGCAAUGUAUAUAGAGGUAUAUUAUUUCAAAUUAAGAAUUUUUAUUUUUUAUAUAAUUGAUUUUUUGUUGUAACUAAGCCCCUGUAUUUUAUCAUUGAAUUCAUGUAGGAGGAGUACUGGUCGCCUCCAAAUCUUGAAUCUAUGCUAUCUGCAAAAUUGAAAGCAUUAACGUCCAAUGGAAAACUGAUUAAGGUAGUUUGUGUACUGUUUUUCUUUUAAUUACAGAUUUUUUAUAAUCUGGAUAUUAUUGUAUCAUCUAUACAACAGGUGAAACGCAAGUACAGAAUUACGCCAGUUUUUGGGUUUUCUUCUCGCAGAAGCUCUAGAAAGUUACCAAUAGAAGGGAAACAAAAGGAGUUAAUUAAACCAGAAAGGCGUGAUUUCAAGGCUCAUCCUAAAUACCAAAUUGAUGCUGAAAUAGCAAGAAUGAGAAGUAUGUCUUCGCAUGAAGCUGCUGCUGUUGCUGCACAAGCUAUGAUAGAAGCGGAGGCAGCCAUUGCCGAAGCUGAAGAAGCUGCAAGAGAAGCAGAGAUUGCAGAAGCAGAUGCAGAAGCAGCACAUGCUUUUGCUGAAGCGGCAAAGUUAACAUUAAAAAAUAGAGCAACUGGUAAGCGAACAUACUCUGUUAAGACUGUUAUUCAAUAAAACCCUAAUACUGUUUAAUUUUAAUUGAAAGGCUUUCCAUAGCAUUAUUGCACUUGGUGACUUAUUAAAAGUUAGUAACCAAAUAUAUAAAUUUUUAAGUGCAGUUCGUAUUAUUAUUUUUUUGAAGUUCUUGAAAUCAUUUUACACCUAGACUUUAUUUUACACUCUCACAUUCAUCCAUUUCUUCGGCAACAUCAGAUAAAUUGCAUUUAUUGAUCAAUUUUAACACCAUGCUACAAUUGGUUAUUCCUUUAUUAAGAUCCAAGUAGUUCAAUUUUAGUUGAUAAACCAGCUCUAUAUGUGUAGUGUACUGCAUAGAAGUAUUUUUGCAAUUGAUUUUACAAAUAUUUGUUAAAUUUCUUUGCAGAUGGUUUGAGUAUGCAGGAAAGUUGAAAGAGCCUUGGAUGUUCUAUGAAGAUGAUUUGUGUAGUAAGAAAAUUAUAGAUUGUAUUUUUCAGAAAAAUGUAUGCCUUCGAAACCCCAUGGAUGUCAUGUUUAUCAGGCUUAAGAACUCUGGAUAUUCCGAAUGAGACAAAAGACGUGAAGAUGGAGAAGAACAAACAUCAGAGCAUACAUAUUUAACUGCCUUGCUCUGUUUGGAAGCAAUCAGGUCAAAUAUUUGUUGCUGUAAUUGUAUGUGCCUUACUAUUGCUCUAUUUGAUAGCUGGAUUUUUUCCCUGCCAAAUAAAUGAGAAUCUUUCAUCUAUUUUAAAUUCUCAAGCUUCUGAAUCUAGCUUAUAUUUACCUGUUUAUACAUUUGGGUUUGCUAUUUUGUUUUUAAAUGACUGUGUGAUCUGGUGUUUUAGAUAAUAUUUCAGAAAGCUUGAAAUGAAAGUUAAGCAAAGCUAAUGAUAUAAUAAUCAGCCCAUAUCUUUUUUAUAUGAUUCCAUAUUGAAAUUGUUGUUAUUUAUUCUUUUGAUUGUCAUGUUGGAUUUCUUUUUAUUUUAAAAUAGUAAAAUACCAUACCAGUAUACCACAGACAAAGUAGCCGGUCAUUGCAUGAGUUCAUCAGUUCUAACUUCUAAGGUACAACAUUAUUUAUUCUCUAUUUUCAAAUACCCUUUGAUAUAUUAGAUUUUAUCUUUCUAGUUCAUAAAAGAGAGUCAUGCCAUGAAUCCAUGGACCAUGAUGCAUCAUGAAUCCAUGAUUGAUGAAAGAAAAGAGGUUGUGAGUGAGUUGUGACUUGUGAGGUGUAAUAAAUAUAAAUAAAUGGUAUUCAGUACUCAGUAGUAGUAAAUGAGAUUUAUAAAUGGGAUCCAGAAUAUAUUAAACAAACACACAGCACUACAGCAGUCAGCUGCUAAGCAGCUCCACUCCAGAAAGAGUUAGUAUUUUGCAGUGGAGAAGUGGUGGGUAUUUGGUGCAUGUCAGGUUAGUUGUCUUUCUCUUUCUUUCACAACUUCACAUUAACUCAUGUCCUCUCAUCUAUCAUUGUUCCAUUGACAGUUUUAGAGACCCCUCCUCAUUCAUUGACUCCUUGAGUUAUGGGCCAUGGUAGCUCCCCUCUAUUAAUGAAUCUCAUUAAUGAUCUCAGAAUAGAACUUACCCAUUUCAUCUUAACUCUUCAAAUUUUUGGCUCUCCCGUAGAAUUUUGAUUUUAGGUCAGUUCUGUUUGCUUCUGAGCUUUUUUUUCAAUUUUUCUUCUGUUCUUCUCUUCAUGUUGUUUGAAUUUCAGGCAUUGAAUUUUUCUUUUCUUCUUCAACUUCUGUGUUUAAUAAUUGGCGAGAUCUUGAAAGUUUGAAAGACAAAUUUUUUUGGGGAGUGUUUCAAUUGUUGCCGUUUUCUUUUCGAUCACCAUGUCGUCGUCGUCGUCAACAUCACCACCACCACCACCAACCAUGAAAACCAAUACUGCAAAAUCUGAAAAUGCAUUCAAAAGGCGAGGUCACGAAUGGUGAGUGUUCUUCUAAUGAUGAGUGUUCUUCUUAUUAACAUCAUCUAUCAGCUACUGAUAUCUUCAAAUUGUUGCAGGUUCUGUUCUUCAACCGACCUACCGACCGACAUAACAAUCGAGGUAGACGACGUGUUCUUCCACCUUCACAAGGUAUUAAUUUAAAAACAAUUUUUUUGUAAGGUAAUGAAUGUAUGUAUUAUCAUGGUAAAAAAAAUGUUUUUUUACCGGCAUACAGUUUCCAUUACUCUCAAGAAGCAAGGUUUUAGAAAAAAUGAUCGGAGAGACUACCUCAGUCCUAAAACUGGACAACUUCCCCGGCGGCGCAACGACGUUCGAGAAUAUAGCGAAGUUGUGCUACGGUGUGAAGUUGGAAUUGACUCCUGCCAACGUGGUUCCUCUUCGUUGCGCGUCUGAGUAUCUAUCGAUGACAGAAGAAUGCGUGGAAGGGAAUCUAAUGAAACAGAGUGACGAUUUCUUGAACCAAGUUGUUCUAAACACCUGGAAUGGAUCCAUACAGGCAUUACACACAUGUCUUCAAUUCACCCCGUACGCCGAAAACCUCAACAUCAUUGACAACUGUAUCGAAUCAUUAGCCCUGAAGGCUGGAGAUGCCAAUCCAUCAAACCCUUCCUCCGACAUACUAAGCUGGCCGACGGAGCGGCAGCCAAUGCAGAGUCCAGGAGGUAGUAUUCUCUGGAAUGGAAUAGUCACCGGUGCCAGAUUGAGGAAACACAGAUUGAAUUUGAAUUGGUGGUAUGAAGAUGUAACAUCUCUGAAGCUACAGAUUUACACAAAGUUGGUAUCAAGGAUGGCAUCAAUUGGGAUCAUUAGCAAAGAGAUCAUAGCAGGUUCACUGGUAUGCUAUGCUAAAACCUAUCUCCCUGUUUUGAAUCUCAACAAGAGAUUCCGGAAUUCGGGUUCGAAUUCGAAUGGGAUGCUCUCCGAGGAUGAGCAACGUGCAUUGUUGUCAGAAUUCGUGAGACUGUUGCCGUCGGAAAAGGGUCUUGUCCCGACGAAGAUUCUGUUCGGAAUGCUUCGAACUGCAAUGAUUCUUCGGAGCAGCAAGGAUUGCAAGUUGAAUUUGGAGAAGAGGAUCGGUUUGCAACUUGAAACUGCCACUUUGGAAGAUCUCUUGCUGCCCAAUUACGUUGAGUACACGAUGGAGCCAUUGUACAAUAUUGAUUCGAUCGACAGGAUCCUUCAGGCUUUCUUUGCUAGUUGUAAUGAAAUGGAAUCAUUUUCUCCGGUCAUCGCCGGCGUUGCUAAGCUUAUCGACGGUUACUUGGCUGAGAUUGGGUCAGACGCCAAUUUAAAACCAACAAUGUUUAUUUCACUUGCCGCCGCAAUUCCCAACCACGCUCGACACUUGGAUGAUGGAAUUUACCGCGCCAUCGAUGUGUAUUUGAAGGCACAUCCGUGGCUAUCGGAUUCGGAAAAGGAGAAGCUGUGUAGGUUGAUGGAUUGUCAAAAACUCUCACUUGAAGCUUGCACUCAUGCUGCCCAAAACGAAAGACUACCGUUAAGAGUAGUGCUUCAGGUUCUCUUCUUCGAACAAAUCCAAUUGCGUGGCAGCAUUGCCGAGUGUUACCUCAUGACAAACAAUGAUAAUUUGAAUGCCGGUGCAACCUCAAGGCCAUUGCCAUCAAACGACACGAUCAGCAGCUCAUCGGAGCUCAUAGAGAACCGCAUCUUGAAAUCAGGCAUCGAUAAGAUACGAACACGCGUGUUUCAACUCGAGAAGGUAUGCACCAACUUGAAGAAUGAAAUUGCCAGACUAAACCACGGUUACUACGAAAACAUAGAGAAAUCCAGCAAGGAAAAAAAGCCGCGAACGAAAAUAGAACCUGAAAAGACAAACAAACCAAGUAGAAUAUGGAGCAGAAGGUUUGGGUUUACCCUAAAGCCACAAAUUUGCAGCACGGAACAGAAUUCUGUACAUGAAACCAAGAGUGAGAGAAACUCUGCAUGGAACAAGAGCAUCAAGUAAAAACAUAUUUAGUUUUUUCUUCUUCCAAAUUGCAGCUUACUACUUCAAUAAUAAGAAUGUUGCGUUAGAUUGUAACAGUGUGUGCGAGUGUUGAUUGAUUGAUUGAAAAGAAAGAGCAGAAAGUAAUUUACUCAAAAUGUUAAACACCCAAAGAUCUUCAGAUGACUCAAAUGAAAAGAACACCUACCCAGAACAAAAUCUGGGGUGGAAACAGAAAAGAAAUAAAAGCCUAUUUGGGGUGGAAACACCUUAGUGUGACUUAACAUACUCCUGGACAAUGUGGAGGCCUUCUGAUUCCUCACCGUAGUCCUUCACCACGACGCAUGAGCAGCCGACCACCUUUCUCGCCUUACCUUCUGAGUCAAUCUUGCAGAGCUGGAAGAUAAAGAAAAAAACAUCAAAUAAGUUCAAUUUAAUGAAUAAUUUGAGCCAAGGAACAUACCCCAACCCAUUCGCCAAGGGUUUUGGCGCUGGGGACUGUGAUGAGAUGGACGUUGUGGUCUGCGCAGAGUGCUUUGACGAGUUUGACGUAAUCAGGUUGAUCGCAGUCUUCAGCUAAAACACAGAGUUGGGCGGAAUGCUUUUCAAUAGAUUUGGCAACCUCAUGAAGACCACGAGAAAUACCGUCAUGAGCUAAUGACUUCUUCAUUACAAGCUGCAAUGCCGUCAAUAUAUCCAUUGGUUCGCCCAGAGCUGGAGCUUCUGCAGCGACAGGAACGGCGACGACUUCAUCACUGUCGGUACAAAAAUAACAAUGAAAUAUAUAAAAUGCAUCUGUCGAUAGUCUAAAUUCUAAAAAUUAAAUCGGAAAAACAUAAAUUAAAAUUAGGGUUCAUGAUAGAAUUCGACGGCAUUGGUUCCCAGACGAUAAGGAUUUCUAUUCUCUAAUCAGCUAAAGAUGAAGAAUAAUCCUACUUUGCUCAAUUUUUUGAUACAAGCAUCGAAAAACUGGGAGCAAAUCAAAGAUCGAAAGAGAAAGAGAAAAACUUGCUUUGUACGAACCAAAACGACGAAUCUCAUUAUCGUAUUUAAAUGAACAGAUUGUACCUCAUUUUGAUCGAUCGAUCGAAGAGGAGAUUAGUAGAUCACGCUCUCUUUCGUCGGAACUCUAGCCGUCGACAACGAUGCAACAAUGACAAGGAAAACCUAGAUUUUGUUUCUACAAACAUAUAUAUACCUGUAUCACCCUAAUACUCACCGUCUAAUACACAUCCAACGGUUUUAAUUAAAGGAACGAGCAAAAAAAAGAAAAUCUUAUCUUUUCAAAAAUAAAUAAUUAAUUAACUUUUUUGUAUUUUAAAAGUUCACUCACUCUUGUCAUUCUCGAACAACGAACUCCGGCAGAUUUCACGGAAAUCCUCACCACCUCCUCCGCAGCAGUCGAAUCAAUGGGAUUCUAGAGACAAUCGACUCAAAUGGAUUCAAUGACGGCACGUUGCGUCGCCUGGGGAGGAUUUAUCUGCCUUCAUUUGUGUGGAUCUUCGAAAAACCUAACCGAACUUUUCUUUUACUUUGUAUAUCGCCGCCAGUGGCAUUUGAUCCGUAUCAGAUGUGCAGCAUUUGGGACAUUAUUGCUCACAUUGUUGCUGAGUUGGUUUCAUUGCUCGAUCAAUGGAUUCCGAUCUUCGCUAUCUCUGGAUUCCACUGCAGUGUUUGUUACUUUGUGGAGUGGAUAUCUCAGUCUCACAUCGGGUUCUUCUGCGGUUUAUGCCUCUUUCGUUCUGGUUAGUUUCUUUUUUAUUUGGUUUGUUCGUUUUUUUGUAGUGGUUUUUCCGGAAUUAGGUUGAAAACUGAGUGGAUUAUGUAGAAUAGUGUUUUUUUAAUCGAAAAAUCUUAGAUUGAUAUUUUAACAGAUAUUUGAUUCAUUUUCUUUGAUCAUACGUAUAGUAUUAUUAAGAUGUGGGCCUUGGUUUUUGUGAUAUAGUUUGAAUAAAGUGGUUAAUGUCAUAUGUUUGCUGAUUUUAGUUGAUUGUGUAGACUGGAUAAUAUUUGUUUGAAAAAAUUCUGAUUAGGGUUUUGCUGAAGCAGCUGUUCAUCGUCUUGAUCGAAUCACUGUUCUUUUUAUUGUGUGUCUUUUUGGAAUGGCAGCUUUGUGGAUAUAUCAAAAUUUCUGGAUCACGAUCAUUUUAUUUAUAUUUGGAGGUAUGCAAUUUGUUUCUCACUUACUUGAUGCUUCAGAUUUCCUGCUAAUAUUAGCUUUGAUACAGGGUAUAUGUUUUCGUUGAAUCAUGUGAGAAUGGCAAUCUUAGCGACAGUGUUUUUCUCCGUAUAUCGAGUCUACAUUUGCAAGGGUUGGAUUGGAAUUUUUCUUUCAGUAAAUCUUGGGUGUCUUUCUACUGAUCUCACGUAUAACUUUGUCCAACCAAAGAAGAUUGAAGGGAAACUAAAGUUUGAGUUUAAGGAAUCAAAUGUCGUUGUUGAAGAUUUUGAAAUCCAACUCAAUUCUUCUUCUCCAGAUUCACCUGUGAAGCCUGAAAUUAUAGAUUUGCCAGAAUCAGAAGUGUCAUGUGAAAUCAUUGUUGAUAUUUCAAACUCUAAAACUAAGAUUACCGAGAAUAUUCCUUCUUUAAUUGACGUGGCAAAACCUGAUUUGAAUAUUGAAAAUGAGAUGAAGAGGAUAAUUAAUAGUGCAAAUCAUUAUGAGGCUAUUGGAUUAAUUCAGAAAAGAUAUAUUGAUCAAACAAUGCUUAGGAAGGAGUACCGUAAAAAGGUUUAGUUCUUUGAUCAAUAAUGUUUAUUUAUUUAUAAUUUAGUUUGGUUUUAAUUCUUAGUUUUCUACUGAAUUUCCAUUGCAGGCAAUGCUUGUUCAUCCUGAUAAAAAUAUGGGAAAUACUCUUUCAUGCGAGUCAUUUAAGAAGCUUCAAUCCGCAUAUGAGGCAAGUAUCCUUGAUAAACUUUUAUUUUAAGAAAUAGGGUCUAAGGUUUAUAGAUAUUUUGAGAUCUGAGAUUGGGGUUUGGUUAUUUUUAAGGAUUUUGGAUAUGGGCAAUCCUCUAAAAGAAGCUUCCCUCUUUAUAUUUUGAAAUUUAAAUAUUUUUUUAAAAGCUGGGUCAGGUCUUAUGGAAAACUAUUCAUGUGAGGUGUGUGUUUUUUGAGAUAUUAUAUGAGAUAUCCUCAAUCCCGCCGUUAAUCUUUAAUCCAAUGGUUCUUUUUAAUUGAUUAGAUAUAAGCAGAAUAUAGUCCAAAUCUCAAUGUUUUAAAUGGAUGGCUGAGAAUAUAGUGCAGAUAUCAAUGUUAAUACUGGACAGCUGAGAUUUAAAUAUCUCAAUAUCAAUAUCUCAUCUGAAUUUCACCCAUUUUAUAUAAUCAGGGAUUAAUAAGUUAUAGGAAUGGAAUAUGGAGGGAUUUCGGAUUCAAUGUGUGUGUGAGCAAGUCUCCCUUUUAAAGAUCCAGGGUUUAAUAUUAUUUUGUAUUUUGAAGAAUUGGUAUUUUUUACGAAUUUAGGAUUACAAUUAUAUCAAAUCCUUUCUCAGCUGAAUCAUUUAUGAAGCUUCGAUUCUCAUAUUGGGAAUUCAAGUUCUCUCUUUUAAAGAUCCAAGGUUUAAUAAUAUAUUUUUUUUGUUUUGCAAACAUUGAAAGCUUUCAUUAAAGAUAAUGAAGGGCAAUGCCCUGAAAUACAAUUGAAUAGGAAAAUAAAAAUGCGGUGGGGUUGAUAUUGUGGUUUCCACUAUAUCGACCUUCUUCUAUGUAGCUAUCCUUCCUAGUGCUUUAACUAAGAUUUAGGCCUCAGGAGGGUUGUCUCCCAAACCUGCAUAGUAGUCCUUUCCAAUUGUGAACCACAUUCUUUCUUAAAGAUAUCAGCUUUAAAAGAUAUUCUGCAGUCCUUUAAUAUAUCAGCUAGAACGACUUUUGGGGGACUGAGAGGAUGCUGGUGGAGGGUUUAAUAAUAUUUGGUAUUAUGAAGAAUUGGUAUUUUUACGAGUUUAGGAUUACAAUUAUAUCAAAUCCUUUGUCAACUGAAUCAUUUAUGAAGCUUCGAUUCUCACAUCGGGAAUUCAAUAUUAGAUUUAUAUCAAUUUCUCUCUGUUUUAGAAUUACAUUGUUUAUUGGUUGUUAUGGAUAUUUUGAAUGAUUUGGGUUUUAUGGACAUUGAUGAGUUUUUUCAAUGAUCAGGGAUUCUGGGAUUAGUAUUUAAUUAUACAGUUUAUAUAUAUUUUUAAGUAUUAUUAAUUAAGAAAUAAUUUAGGGAUUAAGAAUUUGAAUUUCUGAUUCUUUUUAAUGAUUAGAGAUUUAUGUUUUGAUAUCAAUAGUGAGUUGAUCGGAAAAAACCGAAGCAAUGUGUUCUGUUAGCCAAUUUUAAAAAAAGAAGUUCAUGGCAUAUUAAUUAUUUUUUAAAUGUUAAACUUUAUUCUAUGCAGGUUCUUUCAGAUACAGCAAAGAGGAAAGAUUAUGACGAGCAAUUGAAAAGGGAGGAAUCCAGAAUUAUUUGCCAGAAAUCAUGUUCUGCCUAUCAUCAGGUGUGUGCUUGUUUUUCUUGUUCUUUUCAUGAUCAAUUACAAUUGACGUGCAAAAUUCAUUUGAUAGAAUAGCAUGGACCAUCAUCGGUCAAAGGAAUCAAGACGUGUUGAAUGUGGAAAAUGUGGUAAAUCUCAUCUAUGGGUAUGCACAACCCGAAUCAAAGCCAAGGCCAGGUGGUGUCAGGUAUAACGUUAUUGUCUAUUUUUUUGCCAAUUUGUAUAAAUUAUCAAAUGAUUACCAUUUUAUUUUAGAGUUCAAAUGAUCCAAGGGCAUCAAUUUUAACAAUUCUGUACUGCAUAUUGUAUAAACUUUGAAGCGGAAAUAGGAGUUUCCCCUGUACUAAAUAUUGUAAAUCUUUGUGUAUUGCCAGGAUUGCCAUCUACAUCAUCCGGCCAAAGAAGGAGAUGGUUGGGUUGAAUAUGAACGAGUUGUACCCUUUUCAACUCCUAGAAAGGUAUGUUCUACACUAUUUUCUCAGGAAAAAUUCUAUGUGAAAUAUGAAAUAGAAAUAGUAUAUGUUUUAUGCUAAAUAGUAUUUCAAUCUUUUUUGGACAUCGGAAACUAGAUUUUGCUCUCGAGAUAUUAUUUAGUUGGUUGUUUUUUACUUCUAUUCUAAAAUACCAAAUCUUCAAAAUGUAAAAAAUAUUUCAGGUUCUCAAGUUUUUAAAAAUGUAAGUUGGCAUUUAAAAAAAUUCAAAAAUGACAAUUCACACUUUUUAUGGAUUCUUUAAAUCCAGAUUCUAAAUUAACGAUUUGUAUUUUUAAAAAUCUGAAUUCAUGCAAAAUUAACAUAUCAGGACCUAUCAAACGAAGCAUAAAACAAUUCAUAGAGUACAUGAAAAUCCAUGCUAUUGCAAAAAAAUCACAUUAUAUUAGAAUCAAACUCACAAUCUUGACAUAAAGAAAUUCAAAAAGCUCUCUUGUUUGUGUUCAGGUUGAUAUUCCCCAUGCUUAUGUUUGUGCUGAAAACAAGAUCUUCGCAGUAUCUGAAUGGGCUUCUUGUCAGGUUUGUUUGUAAAAAUUUAAGAAUCCUCUUAUUUUACAGAAAUUAAAUUUUCUAUCAUUGAAUGAUCUAUUCUCCAGUUUCAUGGAGCGCCUUGCCGAGCUAACACCCAUUGUCCAAGCUUCCAUUUGGGUCGGCCAAGAUGCACCGAUACGUCAAAGUGGCAAUGGGAGGUUCGACAAAGCAAUGUAAUAUCCGAAAAUGAAGAAUUUGAACUGUGGGUUGAACAUGCAAUGGCCUCUGGCUUACUAACUCCCAAAAGCAAAAAGAGUUGGAGUCCUUUGAAAAUUUUGAAUCAUCACAAGAAAGAGUUGAAUCUUAGACGAAUGUCCCUUCCUUGAUCAAGUCUUUUCAAUCUCAAUUUCUACACCAUUUGUUUGUAUAGAAGAUAUCAGAUCAAGUGCGAUGCGGACUGUUCGAUUACACUAAAUCUCGAGGUGAUCGGACAGCGUUAAUUAGUGUUUGUCGCAAAAGAUUAACUUAAUUGAUUACAAUAAUUAUAAAGUUUCUAAUGAUCUUUCGAUACUGUUGUAUGUAUUUUCGUUAAAUUUACGUGAUAUAUUAUAAUUAUUUCGGUUAUAAAAAAAGUCACCAACAACAGUAAGAUAAUUCUUAAUUAAAAUUAAUAUAUGUUCAAAAGUCAAAACACACAGUAAGUACUAAGUAGUAAUUCACAAAACAGACCCAGGGACAAUCUUAUCCGUCCGAUGCGAAAGCAACGAACGAAAUCAAACAGGUUCCAGAUGAUGCACCAUUCUUGUUUCCCCCUUAACCUCUCCUUUUCACCCUCUCUCUUCUUCCUAUUCUUCUGUACGAAAUACAUAGUAACAGCAACUACCAGAAUCCCGACGCCGGCGACACCAAACACAAUCCCAACCGCUAUAAGCGCAAUCCUCGUCUUCCCUUUUCGAUUUCCAUUUGCAACUCCCACAUCCAUCUUCAGAGGAUCCUCGCCCUCACUUCUCUCAGCAGCCACUGGAAGAAGCUCCGUCUUAUUCCCGCUGCUGCUACUCCCAUCAUCGUGGAAGAAUGAUCUCAUCGCCGGAGACGCUGCUUCAUUCGAGGUCUCGUACGCCAGUCCAUGAUCAUCGGACUGCGCGAUGACGAUGACGAUGGUGUGCAGACUGUACAGUACUGAGAAAAAAAGAAAGAAGCGAAGAUGGAUUUGGACGAAGGACAUCGAUAUCGACAUUGAUCUGCUUGUUGUAAGACUUCUUCUUCUUCUUCGAUCUCAGCAAAAACAAAAGUUGAAACCCUAGGGAAAAAACAACUCCGCCCUAUCUUUCUUCGGUUGUGAGUGAUGACUGAUGAUUAGUCUGAUUAGAUGUCAGUAUGUCACUGUCAACGACAAGUGACACGCGUUUACUUACCUUGUCUUAUUCCUCACCCACCAUCCCUCUCCCUCAUCAUAGCCAUCUUCCUCCCCUCCUCCUCCUCCGUCUUCGCGAUCUAGUUCUCGCCCGUGAUUUGUCAGAGAUAAUAUCUAUUGUUUAAUGGAUUAAUUGACAGUGUGCGUUUGUUUUAGCUUUGGUAAUAAAGAAAAGGUCGGAGAAGAGCAGGAAUGGUCGGUCCUACACAAAGUUGAAAAAAGUUACAGCUUUUGCCCUAGGAAGUGAGGUGAGAUGAGGUUCCUUCCGGCUCAAGGAGGAGGUGGAGGAGGAGAAGAUGAAGAAGCCAUGUGCGACACAACUCACAGCUAAAUAGUGAAUGUGGAAGUCGUCGUGUACAAACAGAUCAGGAUCUUGAGUUUACUGCUUGAAACCAGUGGCGGAGACCUGAAGAACUGGGGGUGUUUUCCUUCUUCUUCUUCCUUCUACUUCUUCUGGAAAUGCUUUCGGAUUGUCAGGUGAGGGAUGUUCAACAGAUCUGGGGGUGAUUGAAGGAAAUUAGGGUUUCUGAACUUUCUAAUUUUUCUUUCUCGCAAUGUUUUUUUUUCCCGUUUUGAUUUGAUUUGAUUUUGCUAAAUUGAUGAUGCUUCACAGGGAAGUUCAGAUCUGAGAAGGAAAGAUGGAUGAUACUACGAAACUAGUUUGCUUUUUCAUUUUGAUUCCGAUUGUCGUUGGAGUGACGACGUCUAAUGGUGAGCCUGUUUUUAUUGACUGCGGUUCGACCACCACAAACACUGCCGCCGAUGGUCGGGUUUGGGUUGGAGAUGGUGAGUCCAACAAGAAGAUUAUCAACUUUGCUCUCAGUAGUCCUGGUUUCAUAGCCGUCCCCAAAGUUGAUUUUGGUGAGGAAAGUAAGACGUACAAAACAGCUCGGAUCUUCACCACGGCAUCUAACUACACCUUCCAUGUACUGCCAGGGAAUUACUACCUCCGACUUCAUUUCCGGCCGUUUGCCUUUGAAUCAGUAUCAGUCAAACACGUCAAUUCGGCGUCAUUUGAUGUGUUUUCCAACCAUUUAAAGCUUCUCACCGAUUACAACAUCUCCGACGAUAUUCUCCGGCAGAACUCCUUGAUUAGCAGCAGCGGCGGCGGAAGCAGCAAUUUGACAGCAAACGUUAGCUCUUUAGUUAAAGAAUAUUUUGUAAACAUAAGUUCCUCUGAGCUGUUCAUCUCUUUCGUCCCGACACAAGGAUCGUUUGCAUUUGUCAAUGCUAUCGAGAUCGUCCCUGUUCUUAACCCCUUGUUCUUCGAAUCGGCGUCAGCAGCCGGUGGGACCGCGCGUAGGUUGGAUUUGGUGGAUAGAGGGUUGGAAACGAUGUUCAGAUUGACCGUCGGAGGAUCUGAGAUCGAUCCUGCCUUAGAUCGAGAUCUUUGGCGGAAAUGGGAGUCGGAUAAUAUCUAUAUGCGGAUGACGAAUGCUGGUCGGAUUAUUAGUAAUACUUCCAACAUAAGCUACUCUAGUUACUCCGAUUACUCGUCGUCCUCUUCACCGGCACCACUUCUGCUGUAUAGUCAAGCUCGAAUCAUGUCAAACACUGACGUCGUUGAUAAGAAAAUCAACAUGUCAUGGAACUUCAAGGUUGAUCCGAAAUUUGAGUAUCUCGUCAGACUCCAUUUCUGCGAGCUUCUGUACGAAGGAGUCGGGCAGAGAAUUUUCAGGAUAUAUCUCAACUUCAGAAUCGCCGCUGAGAAUUUCGACGUAUUUGAACGUGCAGGAGGGAAGAACAAAGCUUACCAUAAAGAUUUUGUCGACGUGAUCCGUCCUGAUCAGUCUGGAAUUCUGUGGCUUCAGCUCGGGCCUGAUUCUUUAAGCAGCGCUUCCGGCACCGAUGCGCUUCUGAAUGGGGUCGAGAUUUUCAAGCUCAGUCAGAAAGGAACUCUCGCACAUGUCUCCGAGAAAUUUGGUGGUAUGGGAGAGGACUCUGGCGGAAAUGUAUCGAAGAGCAGGAAUACUUGGGUGGGUAUCCUGGCUGGAUUUGUGUCUGUGUUUACCUUUUCCUGCUUCGUUAUCUUCUGUUUCUGUUGUCGUAAAAAGAAAGACAAGGAGAAGACGGCGAUGGGUUUGAAAGGUGGCGGCGGUGAGCCAUCUGGUUGGCAUCCUCUAGUUCUCCACGGUAUGCUCGAGAGCACGAACAAUGCCGUUGCAGCCAAAUCCGGAGUGACUACCGACAGAAAAAGUUGUCUUGGCUGCCGGAAUUUCACAAUACCAGAGAUAAAAUCUGCAACGAAUAACUUCUCGGAAUCCCUGUUGAUCGGCACCGGUGGUUUUGGCAAAGUAUACAAAGGUACAAUCGACGACGGCGUCCUCGUCGCGAUAAAACGCGCCCACACGAAAUCAUCCCUAGUUGAAUUUGAGACAGAGAUUGAGAUGCUCUCCAAACUCCGCCACCCUCAUCUGGUUUCGAUGAUCGGGUACUGCGACGAGCAGAACGAGAUGAUCAUGGUCUAUGAAUUCAUGGGCAACGGCACACUCCAGAGCCUUCUCUUCGGAAUCGGAACCGAUACCGGUCCAUCCUCGUCGCUGUCGGUUUCUCUCACAUGGAAGCAACGUUUAGAAGCUUGUAUUGGCGCGGCCAGAGGACUCGACUACCUCCAUUCCACCGACCGUGGCAUAAUCCAUCGAGACGUAAAAACCACCAACAUACUUCUCGACGACAAUCUAGUCGCCAAAAUGGCUGAUUUCGGAUUAUCGAAAACCGGUCCAGAAUUCGACCGUACUCACGUUAGCACCGCCGUCCGAGGAAGCUUCGGCUACCUCGAUCCGGAGUAUUUCAGACGACAACAGCUGACGGAAAAAUCCGACGUGUACUCCUUCGGGGUGGUACUGUUCGAAGUGAUAUGCGCUCGACCGGUGAUAAAUCCCACGUUGCCGAAAGAUCAGAUCAAUCUUGCCGAAUGGGCGUUAAGAUGGCAACGGCAGAGAUCAUUAGAGACAAUCGUCGACCCACGACUCGUCGGUGACUACUCGACGGUCUCCCUUCUAAAAUUCGGAGAGAUCGCCGAGAAAUGUUUAGCCGACGAGGGGAAGAACCGGCCUUCUAUGGGCGAAGUUGUGUCCCAUUUGGAGCACGUUCUCGAAUUGCACGUCGCGUAUUUAACCAGUCGUGUCAACAUCGAAGAAGAUAUAGGAGGGGGAGGAGGAGAACAUUAUUCGGUUACAUUUGGAAGUCCGAGAGGGAGGUGAAAAAGAAGAUUCCACGUUUUGAAUUUCUGAUUCUAUGGUUCGAAUCGAUUCGGAGGAAUCUAUUAUUAUAUCCUAUCUUUUCUUUCAUGAAUUCGUUGUUAACUAUUUUAACUUCAAAAAAAAAAAUUCUUUACGAAUUAUCUCAAAUCUGAUUCCCGGACUUUACGAGGGUAGUAGCGUAAAUAUAAUAAUCAUCUGUAACGGCUAGUGUAAUCACUACCGUUGAAUGCGGAGUGAAGAAGAAAUGACGAUUGAUAAAGUUUGGUUUUUAUUUAUUUUAUUUCAUUGGGUGGAAAAGUGAGAACGAAGAACAGGAAACUGGAAACCCUAACUAAUAAGAUCUCACAGUCGUCAGUCACUCCACAGUCCUCUCCCUCUCAGAUCUCCAAGUAGAUCGUUUUUUUUGUACUAUUUUCGCGCGACAAGAAGAGUGCAAAGAUGAAGGCUGUCAACAUUUUCCGGAAGAAAACCGAUCCUAAAGGUAUAUUUGUAAUUCGAAUCUUUUUUUUUUAAAUCCUAUUUUCUUUAUUUUUCUUGAUUUCGUCUUACCCUUUUUAUUCCAUUUUGGUGUGUGCUAUUUAACUCCAAGGGAUUGAGUUUUUUUUUUUAAUGGUCAUCUUUUUGGAUUUCAAUUUGUAGAGGCACUUCGUUCGAGCAAACGAGAAAUGUCCGUUGCUACAAGAGGUUAGGGUUUAUUGAUUUGAAACUCUUAAUUCAAACUUAUAACAAUUUCAAGUGUUCAGACAUUAUUUUAAGGCUCAUUACUGAUUUUAGUUUGUAAUAUAAUUACCCUAGAUUCGUAACUUAAUUUUUUGAAACACUAUACAUGUAUCUACCCCUCACUUUACAGUUUAACAUGUCGUUUGGUUUUUAAAUUUCUUGUUAACUUGAAAUUAUAAUGGAUUGUAUACCCAUUAUGAUUCCAUUAUUCUUCCUAAAGUAAUAUGCAUAGUUGGCUAGUUGCAUACCACGAAUUGAAAUUUGAAACCCAUUGGGAUAAAAUAUCAAUCUUCUUCUCAUUAAUAGGUAAAAAAUUACAUUUAUCAAAUCAAAAUCAGAUGCAAUUUUGCAUCUAAAAAUGGUCGUUUUUCUUGACAUUAUGAUUUGCUUCCAUGUGAUUAUUCACAGGGGUUGAGAGGGAAAUCGCAACUCUGCAAGCUGAGGUCUAAAUAAUAAUCACACUGAUUUUCGUUAUUUUCUUUGUCUGUUUGUUGAUAAAUUAUUGAUCACAGGAGAGAAAACUUGUUGCCGAAAUCAAGAAAACAGCUAAAACAGGGAAUGAGGUAAUCAAAACACAUUAUGGUGCUUUAUCAGAUAUUCAGAUCUUUUAUGUUCCUGGAAUUAUCCAUCUUUCAGGCUGCCACAAAAAUAUUAGCCCGCCAACUUAUUCGCCUUAGGCAGCAGAUCACCAAUCUGCAAGGAACUCGUGCGCAGAUCAGAGGUGUGGCAACCCAUACACAGGUAAUAAAAAAGAAACUUAUUCAUUUUUUUUCUUCUCAGUUUUCACUUUCCUAUAUAAAGAAAGUCGAUCGUCAUUUAUCUUUUUCUAUACAUUAAUUUCCAGGCAAUGUAUGCAAACACUUCGAUUUCUACAGGAAUGAAGGGUGCAAGCAAAGCGAUGGCUGCAAUGAACAAGGUUAUCCUAAAUUUAUUUUUAUCUCAAUUCAAUAAAUUUCUUAAUCUCUCCAAAGUUUUGCUUUGGAUUUAGAAAAUGGAGCCUGCAAAGCAAAUGAAAAUUGUGAAGGAGUUCCAGAAACAAUCAACUCAGAUGGACAUGACUGUAAGAUAUUAAGAUUUUAAUCAUUUUAUAAAAUAAUAUGCAAUGCAUACCAAUUAAUCAUCCCUGAACCUGAAUUCUUUUUUAUAUUUUAAAUGCAGAUGGAGAUGAUGUCUGAGGCAAUUGAUGAAACUUUGGAUAAAGAUGAGGCUGAAGAUGAAACUGAAGAGCUUACCAACCAAGUAAUCAUCAUUCUAAUCAUUUUUCCAUCCUUAAACUAAAACAAUUAAACGUAAUUCGUAUACUUUGUGAUUUUAAUCCUUAUAGGUACUCGAUGAAAUUGGAGUUGAUGUUGCCUCACAGGUUAAUGCUUCAAUUGCCCUGAAUAUUGUUUAUUAAAUCUUCUGUUUUUAAAUGUAUAAAUCAGCCUGAUUUUGAUUUGUCUGUUUUUUUGUCUAUAUAGUUGUCCUCGGCUCCCAAGGGUCGUGUUGCUUCUUCCACCUCUGCUAAGAAAAUAGACAGCGAGAACAUUCCAAAGUAAAAACAAAGCAUUUGUUUAUUUUUUUUAGAGAACGAUUCAUAUGAGAUACUUUAGAUGAGAUAGUUAGAAGAUACUCCAUCCAUCUAAUUUUUAUCUUGAGAUUUGUGAAUACAUAUUAUCUCAAUCUCGAGACAAUGAUUUAGUGGUUGAGAUUUUAUCUCUCACCAUUAUUUCAUCUAAUGUAUCUCAUAUGAAUCUACUCCUAUUUUUUUAUUGUUCAGAAAUAAGUAGAUUAUGUGUAUUGUAGGUCUGUAGCUCCUGAGACAUCUGAAGUCGAUGACUUGGAAAAGAGAUUGGCGUCACUUCGUCGAUUAUGAUCUUACUUUGUUUAGGGUUUGAUAUGUUGUCAUUAUCAUGAUUUGAAGCUGAUGAUGUCAUGCUGGAGUUAUGUGCUGCUUUGAACCAUGACUAAGGUUUGUUAUGUUAUCAUUAUAAGAAUAAAUAAGAGCAGGAGUUCAGGAAGAUUGAAGGUCGUUGUAUGGAAACUGUAGUGUAACAACAACUUACCAAACCCAUUAAUACUAUAUGGAAUAAUAUAUUGGUAAUAUGACAUACUUUUGUGGAUUUAUAACAUAUAUAUUUGUACUUUGAACUACUUUUCUACAAAUAGAAAUAUAUAUUUAGGAAUGUUAACCAAGAUUCGUUCGAAUAAACGAAUCGAAUAUUUUAAGUUUGGUUUGUUUAAUAUUUAAUUAUUUAAAUGUGUAUUUUAACUUUUAAGCUAUUCAUUGUUAAAAAAUAAACAUGUUAAAAAAAUAUUUUCAAAAACAAAAAAACAUUAAUUCAUCUUUUGUUUAGUUUAUAGUUUAUUUUAUUUUGUUGUUUCAAUUUUUAGUUUAUCUUUUCUUCUUGUUCAUUGAAAAUCUUACAUUGAAAUUUAUUUUCAACAUAUCAUCAUCCUAAUAAAAAUGUUAAACAUAACAAACCAUUUGUCGAACUUCAAUUUUAACAUAGCAAAUCGAACAAUCUCUAAAUGACAUAUCAGAAUCAUAUAUUAUUGAUUCCAUAAUGAAAAUUAUGUAGAGACUAGAAUUUUGAAUCUUCAAAUUUUUUAAUAGUUAUUGUGAACUCUGUCAUCAUUUGAAUUAAUUUCUCUUAUUUUUAAUUGACAAUUCACAUAGUAUGUUAGAAUUUACCAUUAUCUUAAUAAUGAUUAACUCAUUAAUCAUUAUUAGUUUUAAAAGAAGAAAAAAAUCAUUAAUAAUACAAAAUGUAGUGAUUAAAUGUAGUAGUCUUAGAUCAAGUUAAACAAAAGAUUUAUAGGAAGACGAACGUUUUUAACCAAUGAGAAAAAUAAAACAGAGAAAGUUUUCGUAUAAGCUUUAUGACAACAUUAAACAAUGUAUAGGGAUAUAAUCAUUUUAUUCCUGUACGAUGUUAAAUGUUGGCAUAAAGCUCAUAAAGUUAUUGUCUCCGUAGAUUUUUCCAGUUUCCAUCAUUCAAAAAUAAAAACACAUACAGCAAAGUAGCAAACAGAUGACAUAAAAAGAGCACAACAACCUACCUGGAUUUGAUUGGACGGAUGGAUAUCUGUGACUGAGAAUCUAGUAAAAGGAGGGGCAGUGUAGGUUUGUGCAUAUAAAUAUUCAAGUUAGAGAGAAAUUAGGGUUACGAAAGAUUUGGAAACCAGUAAGAGCCCAUCUAGAAUAGGUAGGCCGUAGGCAGUAAGGUUCCCCAUUGGGUCCGAUCCAACAGGAAUACAUCUGCAAUCUUUUAUUCGACACUUGUGAAACGAAAUUCAGAAAAUAAAUAGUUUAGAAGAAGAAGAAAAAGGUAAAUGACAAGAGAAUUUCAUAAUUUUAGGUUUCAAUACAUACGAAAUUACCAAUCCGUAAAUAUUAACAUUAUUUUAUGAAAAGUUGAAAACAAAUAAAUUACUAAUUAACUACUUAGUUUUUACUUUUGAUAAUUGUAACUUUUAUAUAGAGAGAUUAGAAAGAGAAGUGAAAAUAAUUCAUAUAGCAUUAUCUCAUUUGAAUCUAUCAUUAUAUGUAUAUCAACAUUUUUUGUUAAAUACUCAAAAUAAGAUAUUUUGUGAGAUAUUAGUAGAUUCGUGGUAUCACGACUUCAUGAAGAUUUAGAUAUUAAUGAAAAGAUCACCGACGACGACAUAAACACCGACGAGGAGUUUGACUGUAGGCCCGUCCGAACCAGGCGUAACAAACUGGACAAUAAUUACAUCUAUUAUUAAAUCUAAUUCUAUUGCAAUUAAUUAGAGUUGUUAUGAAUUGGUGGCCAUGGAAAUAGAAAAGACACCCAUUUUUGGGUAUCCAAUUUAUCGAACAAUCAAAAUCCUUCUCGUCUCUGGCUUCCUCGAGAGAAUUCAUGUCCAACCUCCGACUCCCAUUGGGAGAAUACCCUCUGUCGUGUGUUUCUCCUGAAUCACUUACAACUCUUAAGGAAUUGAUCAAUUUAAGGAAUCACUUCACCUGGGAAGAAGUGUGUCUCUGGUCCAGCGAUUAGUGAAUCACGGAUACCUAGAGACGAGCGCAGCGAGGAUAUACCUCUGAUAUCAAGACUCAGUCCGUUACAGAGGAUAGUUGUGAAGCUGUCUGUUCGGAAACUUGAUGCGACUGGAUGAAUGACGAGUGCGAAAGCGACGGUGGAUGAAUUCUUAUCUACUGUCGGAGGAGAUGGAGGUGGUUGAUAAAAAAAAUAAAACUGUUUUAGAAAAGAUUGGUUGCUUUUUUCAUUCACUCAUAAAAUGCUUAAAUAGAUCAAAGUUAGUAACCGUUGGAAGUUACUUCCAU
rnacentral:lncRNA from 1 species